rnacentral:rRNA from 1 species
UAGCAUAAUAAAUUGUUUUUUAAUUGAAAACUGGAAUGAAAGGUAGAACUAUUUAUAAAUUUGUUUUUUUUUUAAUUUAUGAAUUUUUACUAUAAGUAAAAAUACUUAUAUACAAUAAAGGGACGAUAAGACCCUAGAAGCUUAAGUUUGUAAGGGUGUAUAAUAGUUAUUUUUAAAGUUUAUACUCUAUAAAAUUUUAAUUGGGGAAAUAAAAAUUUUAUCAAUAAUUUUUUUUUAAGAAAAAUAAUUAUUUAAGGAUCUUUUAAAUAAAAAUAAAUGGAAAAGUUACUCUAGGGAUAACAGCGUAAUAAUUUUGGAUAGACCUUAUAUAUAAAAUUGAUUACGACCUCGAUGUUGAAUUAAAAUAUCUUUAUAAAGUAGAAGUUAUAGAAG